rnacentral:lncRNA from 1 species
CUUUUCCCAUCAUUCCUAUAGAGACAGAAGACUUUGCCAAGUGGUCCAAGCUUUGCUGAAGACCUAAGGACUUUGGGAUUGAUAGAGCUGACAAGCCAUAGCAGGACGGCCAUCCCCUGAGAGAUAGGAGAGGAGGAGAAACAGCCCGACAGGGGCCUGGAGCAGCUGGCUGGCGUCAGUAAUUUCCUGCAGGAGACUCUGCUGGCCGAGCACACGUCACCCUUCUGUUGAUCCUCUGUAUUCUCCCUUGUGCUACUAAAAUACGCUAAUGUAAGUCCUGGGCUGUGCUGAGCUAAAUGCAGUUAUUUAACUUCAUCGCUAUGGAACCCAGGUCUAAAGCAGCAACAUCUAUUUGGAACAAGGUGGGGAGGAGGAAAAAUAAUCUUCCCUGGAUCUGAGCAACUGUAUUAAGUUUGUGCUUGUCCGACACCCGCAACACAUGCCCCUACCUGGAGAAGAGAGUCUGGAACAAUUGGUCUCCUAGGAUUCCCUGAAAGUCACAGUUACCUGCAUCAAAGUAUCAAGGAGGCCACUUAAUGACAGAAAUGUUAGGAGUGGGAUGCCUUUUCUUCUGCCCUUGGGCAUCAGAUUCCAGGUUCUUUAGCCUUUGGACUCUGGGACUUGCACCAGUGGCUCCCCUGGGGUUCUCAGACCCAGAGCUUCAGGCUGCAGACUGCACUGUUGGCUUUCCGAAUUUUGAAGCUUUUAGACUUGGACUGAGCCACGCAACUAGGUUUUCUCAUUCUCCAGCCUACAGACAGCAUACCAUGGGACUUUGCCUUUGUAAUCAUGUGAGUCAGUCCUCCCUAAUAAAUUCAUAUAUAUAUAUCCCAUUGGUUCUGUCCCUCUGCAGAACCGUGACUGAUACAGUCAUGUCCUCUUAG